ensembl:lncRNA
AGAGUCGCGCAGGCGCCGUGCGAGUGCUGCAUUUUACCGCCGCAGAGGUGGAGGAUUGGGGAUCAGCAAGAACAAGUUCCCACCCCGCCUGCACCAGCCAUCACAGCUGUAGAAAAUUCCAUGCCGUGCCCCACCCUGAGCCAGUGGUAACGACUGUUUCUCACGCGGGACUGGAUUUCUAAAGCAUCACCAGAACCCUCCGCCAGAGCCCAGUGAAUAGGUGACCCAGAAAAGCUCUGAAGGUUUAGGGUGUGACACCACUGGAAGUUCCAUAAAUGACAUGGCAGCUCAAGAGGAUGAAGCAGUGAUGCCUCAAAGGCCCAGUGUCUGGCCCACAUCUACACAGGGAGUGGAAGAGGGUAGCAGGACCUACUCCUCAGCAGGCCAUGGGCAGCGAGUGGCCAGUGAGCUCCCACUCAGUCAAGCCUGCCCCCAGGGACACCAUCUGAACCAGCUGAAUUCCGGGCACUGCUUCACCUUGGAAAGGAGGCCACAGCUCUCUAGAGCAGCCCGCUGCUGUUCUUCCGCUGGAACCAUCUUGGUGUUUCCAUGCCUCUGCUGCCCCACUGUGCUUGACCUGACAUCCUUCAGGCCUCCAAAGGAUCAUUGCUUCCUCAUGGAAGACUUCCUGGCUCUCCAGGCCUGGGUGGUACUUCCUCUGGGCUCCCACCGCACCUGGGCAGGUCCCCCGUCUGUCCUGGUGCCUUGAUGCAGA